UUUUUAUGAGAGUUUGAUCCUGGCUCAGGACGAACGCUGGCGGCGUGCCUAAUACAUGCAAGUCGAACGCUUCUUUUUCCACCGGAGCUUGCUCCACCGGAAAAAGAGGAGUGGCGAACGGGUGAGUAACACGUGGGUAACCUGCCCAUCAGAAGGGGAUAACACUUGGAAACAGGUGCUAAUACCGUAUAACAAUCGAAACCGCAUGGUUUUGAUUUGAAAGGCGCUUUCGGGUGUCGCUGAUGGAUGGACCCGCGGUGCAUUAGCUAGUUGGUGAGGUAACGGCUCACCAAGGCCACGAUGCAUAGCCGACCUGAGAGGGUGAUCGGCCACAUUGGGACUGAGACACGGCCCAAACUCCUACGGGAGGCAGCAGUAGGGAAUCUUCGGCAAUGGACGAAAGUCUGACCGAGCAACGCCGCGUGAGUGAAGAAGGUUUUCGGAUCGUAAAACUCUGUUGUUAGAGAAGAACAAGGAUGAGAGUAACUGUUCAUCCCUUGACGGUAUCUAACCAGAAAGCCACGGCUAACUACGUGCCAGCAGCCGCGGUAAUACGUAGGUGGCAAGCGUUGUCCGGAUUUAUUGGGCGUAAAGCGAGCGCAGGCGGUUUCUUAAGUCUGAUGUGAAAGCCCCCGGCUCAACCGGGGAGGGUCAUUGGAAACUGGGAGACUUGAGUGCAGAAGAGGAGAGUGGAAUUCCAUGUGUAGCGGUGAAAUGCGUAGAUAUAUGGAGGAACACCAGUGGCGAAGGCGGCUCUCUGGUCUGUAACUGACGCUGAGGCUCGAAAGCGUGGGGAGCAAACAGGAUUAGAUACCCUGGUAGUCCACGCCGUAAACGAUGAGUGCUAAGUGUUGGAGGGUUUCCGCCCUUCAGUGCUGCAGCUAACGCAUUAAGCACUCCGCCUGGGGAGUACGACCGCAAGGUUGAAACUCAAAGGAAUUGACGGGGGCCCGCACAAGCGGUGGAGCAUGUGGUUUAAUUCGAAGCAACGCGAAGAACCUUACCAGGUCUUGACAUCCUUUGACCACUCUAGAGAUAGAGCUUCCCCUUCGGGGGCAAAGUGACAGGUGGUGCAUGGUUGUCGUCAGCUCGUGUCGUGAGAUGUUGGGUUAAGUCCCGCAACGAGCGCAACCCUUAUUGUUAGUUGCCAUCAUUCAGUUGGGCACUCUAGCAAGACUGCCGGUGACAAACCGGAGGAAGGUGGGGAUGACGUCAAAUCAUCAUGCCCCUUAUGACCUGGGCUACACACGUGCUACAAUGGGAAGUACAACGAGUCGCGAAGUCGCGAGGCUAAGCUAAUCUCUUAAAGCUUCUCUCAGUUCGGAUUGCAGGCUGCAACUCGCCUGCAUGAAGCCGGAAUCGCUAGUAAUCGCGGAUCAGCACGCCGCGGUGAAUACGUUCCCGGGCCUUGUACACACCGCCCGUCACACCACGAGAGUUUGUAACACCCGAAGUCGGUGAGGUAACCUUUUNGGAGCCAGCCGCCUAAGGUGGGAUAGAUGAUUGGGGUGAAGUCGUAACAAGGUAGCCGUAUCGGAAGGUGCGGCUGGAUCACCUCCUUUCUAAGGAA
rnacentral:rRNA from 1 species